GUUGUAUUAAAUCUUAUUGUCACUGGGUUAUAUGGAAGAGGUUGGAAUUUGCUGUGUUAAAAUAACGAGCUUUUAAUCUUUAUAUUCUUAAUAUAUAUUAAAAGAUUAAUAAAUUUAUACGUGACCUAAUAGCUGUAUAUAUUAAUAUAUCGAAUUCGUGCAACUAUCAAGUACUUAUGAAUAUCGGCCUGAUUUAGACACAAGACAGAUAAUUCAUCAAGAUGUGUCUUCCUUACAUAUUAUCUAAAAUUACCCAUCUUUACGAUAUAUAAACAGUCGCACCAACAAUCUUAACAACUAGCUGCGAAAAGGUGAUUUAUACUGGCAAUGGUUGUGUAACAUUACCAUUAUAUAAACCAUCUUGGAUUUGUUCUGAAAAUCUGCAAUCUAUAUAUCAAGGUUUCUGUGAUCACAGUAGGAAAUGUUUGAUGGAAGUGACUUAGUGUCUAUAAGAAUAUUUUUUUGGGAGGCAAAAAUGUUCUUAUAUUUUCUUAUAUUAUUCUCAUUAAUUAUUCUACUUCAUUCAUCCUGAAAAUAAAAUAUACAGAUAAUAGUCGUAUAAAUACUGCAAUGAU